rnacentral:rRNA from 1 species
GACGAACGCUGGCGGCGUGCUUAACACAUGCAAGUCGAGCGGUAAGGCCCUUCGGGGUACACGAGCGGCGAACGGGUGAGUAACACGUGGGUGACCUGCCCCCAACUCUGGGAUAAGCCCGGGAAACUGGGUCUAAUACCGGAUAUGACCUCUCAUCGCAUGGUGGGUGGUGGAAAGUUUUUCGGUUGGGGAUGGGCCCGCGGCCUAUCAGCUUGUUGGUGGGGUGAUGGCCUACCAAGGCGACGACGGGUAGCCGGCCUGAGAGGGCGACCGGCCACACUGGGACUGAGACACGGCCCAGACUCCUACGGGAGGCAGCAGUGGGGAAUAUUGCGCAAUGGGCGAAAGCCUGACGCAGCGACGCCGCGUGGGGGAUGACGGCCUUCGGGUUGUAAACCUCUUUCGCCAGGGACGAAGCGCAAGUGACGGUACCUGGAUAAGAAGCACCGGCCAACUACGUGCCAGCAGCCGCAGUAAAAC